CUGGAAUGUGUGGGAAGCUGACUCAAGCAUAUGCAUCUUUUAAAAACUCAGAUUGUUCUUCUGCCCCGAAAUCUUGAGAACCACUGACUUAUGUGGUCAGAAGUGAUCGACUCCCUGGGCUGGGAAGCUCCAAUUUUCUCCUCCAGAUUUCCUGUGUCGCCCUCUCCUCCCUGUCCUCUGCCCCAUUAGGGAGGAUGCAUGGAUUCCUUCAGCAAGCUCUUUGUCCUUCGGUUUCCAGUUCCUUGAGGAAUUUGUUCAUCGUCUACUGGGCCUGUUAUGUCAUUUUCAGUUUUGCCUCUGCUCUCUGCCUGGAAUGUUCCAUAAUUGCUUUUCAGAGAUGGGGUUUCACCAUGUUGUCCAAGCCGGUCUCUGUGGGCUCAAGUGAUCUGCGUGCCUCAGCCUCCUAAAGUGCUGGAACUACAGAGUUCUUUCUAGCUUUGGUUUUCAUCUGUUUAGGUAAAAAUGUGUCUACUUGUUUUAUUUCUCCCUACCCUCCCUGACUUGGGUUUUACAGAACUUCUUUAAUCCUGGGCUUGACAUUUUUCAUUGGUUUUGAAAAACUCUUAGCUAUUAUCUCUAGGUACUGUUUCUUCCCCCCUUUUUCUCUUCACUUCUUCUGGGACUAUAAUUACAAGCAUGUCAUUUUCCACUAUGCCCCCUAUGUUGUGCAUGCUGUUUUCUGUAUAUGUUCUUGUUAUUGAUGUUUCAAUCUAUACAUUUUCUACUGACCUAUAUUCUACCUCAAAAAUCUUUUCUUCACAUGUGUCUAAUUAUUAUUAAACCAUUAGUUACUUUCUUGGGGAUGCUGUAACAAAUUACCACCAACUUGGUGGCUUAAAAACAGAAAUUUACUCUCCCACAGUUCAGAAGGCUAGGAGUCUGAAAUUAAGGUGAUGACAGGACUAUGUUCUCUCAGGAAGCCCCUUCUAUAAUCUAGUUGUUCCAAGUAUUCUUUGGUUUAUGGCUGUGAAAUUCUAAUUUCUGCCUUCAUCUUCAUGUGGCUUUCUCCUCCUGUACCCCAUUUCUCUCUCCUCUGUAUGUCCCUUAUACAGAUCUUUUCAUUGGAUUUAGGGCCCACCCAGAUAAUCCAGGAUGAUCUCAUCUAGAGAUGCUUAAUAACAUCUGUAAAGACCCUUUCUCCAAGUAAGUUUUGGAUGUUAGGAUGUGGACCGUAUCUUUUGGGAGGACAUCAUUCAGCCCACUGCAGCCAUCUAAGGAGUUGUUAACAUGAGUUAUUGUUUCUGUAGCUGUGUAAUUUUCUUUAAAUUUCUUAUUUAUACUCCAAUUCUCUGCAGAAAGUAUUCAAUUUGGUUUUAGUUUUCUAAAAACAUAUUAGCCACAAUUAUUCUCAUGUCACAUCUAAUAAACUCCAAUAUCUACAUCUUCUGUGUUCUGUUUCUAUUGUAUGUUUUUACUCUUAGUUUUUUGCUAUAGAUCUUCUCCACUGGAUUAGUUGCAUUUUAGGAACAAAAAGCACCUUAAAGGCCUAUAGUAAACUGAAAGAAUUAUAUUCCUUGACCAUUUACAUUAUGAUGGGAAAAGAUCUUAUUUAUUGAAGUGAAAAAUAUGAUUUUCUUUUUUAUCUGCUUUAUUCUCAUCAGAAGAUGAUCCAUACAAAAUCUUCUUUGUUUUACAUAUGCGUAUAUACAAACGUGAUAUUACAAAAUAAUAGAUCAUGUCUAUGCCUUAUUAAAAAAUAUCUAAUAUUUUGAGAUAUAUAGUUUUUAAACACUGUGAAAAUCCAUGAACAAGACAUUAGAAAAAAAUUUCAUAAAAUAUUUUGGUUCUUCUGCACAUUUGUAAAAUUAUAGAGUCAAUAUAUUUGUAACUAGAAACUUUGUGUAUUUUUUUCUUCAGACUUUGUACGUGUAAAUGGAAGAAAACAGUUGAAACUAGCAUUCAAUAAUUUAAAUUUUAAAAUCCUACCACUGAAGACUUGGAUUAAACUGUCCAAGGCAGGAGUCAGAAACAAUCAGGUAACCAGCGAAACAAAGUUGCCAUUUGACUUUGAAAACAGAUGUAGCAUGUUGCCUCCCAGGUGUAACUUCUGUAAACUUGUUCAGCAUCUCUUGUUAAGUACCCUCAAAUCUGUCCUUAGAUUGUUGCUCAGAAAUUUUCCCUCCUCCCUGUGUCAUAUGCCAUCAAUGGUGGAGAGAGCCAAGUUCUGUCCCAGAAGAUUUCUAUAAAAGGGUCAGCUGGAUUGUUGGAGCUGUCAUGUAGCAAUUUGGAAAGCCCUCCCUGCUAGUAACUUUGUUGGAA
rnacentral:lncRNA from 1 species